GGAGUUAGCCGGUGCUUCUUCUGCGAGUAACGUCACAGAUGUAAGGUAUUAACUUACACCCUUUCCUCCUCGCUGAAAGUGCUUUACAACCCGAAGGCCUUCUUCACACACGCGGCAUGGCUGCAUCAGGGUUUCCCCCAUUGUGCAAUAUUCCCCACUGCUGCCUCCCGUAGGAGUCUGGGCCGUGUCUCAGUCCCAGUGUGGCUGAUCAUCCUCUCAGACCAGCUAGGGAUCGUCGCCUAGGUGAGCCUUUACCUCACCUACUAGCUAAUCCCACCUGGGCUUAUCCAUCAGCGCAAGGCCCGAAGGUCCCCUGCUUUCCCCCGUAGGGCGUAUGCGGUAUUAGCAGUCGUUUCCAACUGUUAUCCCCCACAAAUGGGCAAAUUCCCAGGCAUUACUCACCCGUCCGCCGCUCGUCAUCUUCAAAGCAAGCUUUUGAAAUGUUACCGAUCGACUUGCAUGUGUUAGGCCUGCCGCCAGCGUUCAAUCUGAGCCAUGAUCAAACUCUGA
rnacentral:rRNA from 1 species